AGUGAACGCUGGCGGUAGGCCUAACACAUGCAAGUCGAACGGCAGCACAGUAAGGGCUUGCUCUUACGGGUGGCGAGUGGCGGACGGGUGAGGAAUACAUCGGAAUCUACUUUUUCGUGGGGGAUAACGUAGGGAAACUUGCGCUAAUACCGCAUACGACCUACGGGUGAAAGCAGGGGAUCUUCGGACCUUGCGCGAUUGAAUGAGCCGAUGUCGGAUUAGCUAGUUGGCGGGGUAAAGGCCCACCAAGGCGACGAUCCGUAGCUGGUCUGAGAGGAUGAUCAGCCACACUGGAACUGAGACACGGUCCAGACUCCUACGGGAGGCAGCAGUGGGGAAUAUUGGACAAUGGGCGCAAGCCUGAUCCAGCCAUACCGCGUGGGUGAAGAAGGCCUUCGGGUUGUAAAGCCCUUUUGUUGGGAAAGAAAAGCAGCAGGUUAAUACCCCGCUGUUCUGACGGUACCCAAAGAAUAAGCACCGGCUAACUUCGU
rnacentral:rRNA from 1 species